GAAAGCUGUGCUAAUACCGCAUACGAUCUAUGGAUGAAAGCGGGGGACCGAAAGGCCUCGCGCGAUUGGAGCGGCCGAUGUCAGAUUAGCUAGUUGGUGGGGUAAAGGCCCACCAAGGCGACGAUCUGUAGCUGGUCUGAGAGGACGACCAGCCACACUGGGACUGAGACACGGCCCAGACUCCUACGGGAGGCAGCAGUGGGGAAUUUUGGACAAUGGGCGCAAGCCUGAUCCAGCAAUGCCGCGUGCAGGAAGAAGGCCUUCGGGUUGUAAACUGCUUUUGUACGGAACGAAACGGUCCGGGUUAAUACCCUGGGCUAAUGACGGUACCGUAAGAAUAAGCACCGGCUAACUACGUGCCAGCAGCCGCGGUAAUACGUAGGGUGCAAGCGUUAAUCGGAAUUACUGGGCGUAAAGCGUGCGCAGGCGGUUUUGUAAGACAGGCGUGAAAUCCCCGGGCUCAACCUGGGAAUGGCGCUUGUGACUGUGAAACUGGAGUGCGGCAGAGGGGGAUGGAAUUCCGCGUGUAGCAGUGAAAUGCGUAGAUAUGCGGAGGAACACCGAUGGCGAAGGCAAUCCCCUGGGCCUGCACUGACGCUCAUGCACGAAAGCGUGGGGAGCAAACAGGAUUAGAUACCCU
rnacentral:rRNA from 1 species